UGUGGAGAGGAGCUUAUCGAGAAGCCUGAGUCAGUAGGGUGAGCCAGGGACCCUAGAAGCUGAGCUCUCCUGGAAGCCUCCUAGACAAGGUCCGUAUCCAGCAGGCAUCAAAGAGGGCCUGGUUUCAGCCAGUGGGCCUCCAGACACUGGCUGCAAGCCCAGCCUGGCUAGGAUCACUCGUUGUCUUUGGAGAAGAGUCACAGUGGACAGACCUCCCCAGACUCCAAAGAAGGACAUUACCCUGAAAUGUAAUACUCAAGGUGAGGGAGAACCCAGACACGCACAAGGAUUUUGGUGCUGGGGAAUGCAGAAGGGUAUUUGGAGAAAGUGUGGAGGAAAAUCCUCUGGAUGUAGCCAGUGUAUCAAUGUAUGACGGGAAAGAGAGAGAAGUCAAAAUGACAUUGUUGCCCCCGAAGGAAAGACAGAAUGAGUGAACUGAUAUCAGUAAUAGAGACAAGAGGAAGAGGAGAAAGAUGUGAAGAUCGGUUUUGCCGUUUUAAGUUUCAGUUGGUGUUGGGACAUCCUGAAAGGAAAGUCAUAGAGGACAUUGAAGAUUCAAGACUGAAAAGAGGUUGUGAGGUGGUUGUUGAAUCCAUGAGGCUGGAUGAGGUUGCUCAGGGACAAGGUGCAUCUCAUAAUGUUUGAUCAAAUGUGUUAAAAAAGGCUGGCUUUCACCUGGAUUGUACUGGACAGCUUCCAAAUCUGACAGAACAUAUCAAAGAUGAAUGUGAAAGGGGAUUGAUUAUGGGAGUGGUGUCCGUUGAUCUCUGAGCUGCUUACAAUACAGUCAAUCAUUGUGGGCUCCUUGCCAAAGUACUAAUUGUAACGAAGAGCUACCACCUCACAAAGCUAAUAUAGACCAUGCUGGAGAACAGAAGAUUCUUCGUGAACUUUUGUGGCAAAUGGAGCUGCUGGUGAUGACAGAAGAAUGGCCUCCUUCAAACUAAUGUCUUAGCAUCUACAUUACUCAACAUCUACAAAAAUGAUCAGCCGAACUAGCUUAGCACAAGGUCCUUUAUUGACACAGAUGAUCUGUUCAUCAUCACAGAGCACAAGGAGUCUGGCAUAUUGGAGACUACUGUGGUGACUGCACUUAACAGCUUAGACAAGUAUUCUGUAGCCAAUCAAUUGUAUGCAAACCCAGUUCAGAUGCAAGUCAGUGCAUUUCAUCUGAAAAACUGAGAGGCCAAAUCUGAACUCAGAGCAGCUGGCUUGAGACAAAACUUACUCAUUCCAUAAUUCCUGCAUGUCUCCGUGGUACUCUCAACCACACACUCUCACACCAAGAAAACUAAAGCCAGGGUUAGCAUACAAAACAACAAUCUCAGCAAGCUGGCUACAUCAAAGUGGGAUAUAGACCCGUCCACUCAGUGAUCAACAGCGCUGGCACUUUGCUACUCAUCUGCUGAAUAUACCUGUGCAGCGGUGGCAUGAUCCUCUCACACAAAGAAGCUAGACCCUGUACUUAACACCACCAGCCACUACAGUACAGGAUGCCUUAAAUCUACUCAUGUCAACAUCCUUGCAGUUAUUGCUCCUCCUGAUAUACAUUGGUAAUUUGCUAGUAGAGUCGAGCUCACAAGGCAAUAUAUAGAUCCAAGACAUAAACUGUGUGAUAUAGCACCAGUGCUGAUUCAGUUGAAGUCAUGACAAAGUUUUCUUUCCACUGUUAAACCCCUAACAUCGUCAAACCAUUAUUGUCUUAAUCAACUCUGCACUGAAGUUGGCAGGUCUAGAGUCAUGAUGAUCAACUAGCUACAUCACUGGCCCCAAUUCCUGUGACUGCAGCAGAAUGCCUCAAAAUACGGAAGCAUCUCCUGCAAUGCCAACUGCUCAAGCACAAAUGCUCCUCCAGUGACCUGGCAGAGUGUAAUAAUUGCAUGUGCAUAGAUGUGGCGGGAAACAGAAUGAGAUCAUGAAGAGGAGGAGGAGGAGGACGCUCCCCAGAUUUGUGUGCAAUCGUUUCAGGUUCAAAGUUCAACUUUUAAAUACAAGCACACACACAAAUACAGUCCAAUCCAGUGGCUGCUUGGAUGGGGGACCCCACUUACCUUCUCUUAUCCCCUGAGGUGUGUGGGUAGCUGCAAUUAUAUUCCUCUCCAUCCCUUUCCCUUAAUACUAUUAUUUUCCCCUCCCCUUGCCAUCUACUUUCUGCCUCAUUCACAUUCAACCUUCAUUCUGGCCCACACUAUCUAGUUCACCCACAUACAUGUUCACUAUGUUCAACUGCCAUCCAUAUUUUCUCCACCCUUUCCCCUCAAGUUUCUUAUUCCUCAUAUUCUUCUUCUUUGUCACCCCAUUCCUUUGCACUACUUAAUCUCCUCUUGCAUCUCUUAUUCCCGUUCCUACUUCCCACUUCAUUGCCCCCUCAUUAUUCUCCCCACAUUUAUUUGAAAUCUCCUUUGCCUUUUCCUGCAUGCCUCAUUCAUUUGUUACCCUCAGUCUCCUCCGACCUUCACCCCAGAAUUACCCUAGCCUACACCCCCUCAGUCUUCUCUUGCUCUCCACAUUCCCCAGUUCCCAUUACUCCCCAGUUUCCCAUCUAGUCUCCUAACAAUAGGACAAAGGGUAGCUAUCUUCCCUAAGAGCUGCCUGGAUUCAAUCCCAUGGAACAUAAAGGGUGGGAUUGUGGCCAUUUUUUUCCAUGUGUGCAGCUAUAGGGAAAUGACAUUCCUCUUGACUGAGGCUGCUUGAAGGCUUCAGCUCCACUGAUUGUAACAGGAAAGAUUUUGACUAAGGGUAACAUUUGCAUGUUUGAUGGCAGAAAUCAGGAGAUCACAGGAAAUUUUAAAAACAUUGCAAGACUGUGAGAGCUGGCACUUCUGUCUUUGAUUCUUAAUCAUUUGGGGGUAAUCAAAAACCUUUGUAUUCUAUUCGUCUUAUCAAGAUGCUUAUCUAUAUUGCAUUAUGUAUAGCAAACAGGUCAGCAGGUGUAUAAAUUACACAGGUCAUUUAUAAUGCGAAAGAUUCUUAGGGACUGAGAAUUUAAUGGUGACUACAAUCAUGAUUAGUAGGUGGCUAUAAGUACAGAUUUGAGAAUAAUUAUAUUCUCUUUAUCUAAAUUCCCCUUGUAGUUUCAUUAAAUACAUUGUUCUUCAUUUAGUAUCCUAGGGCCCCAGGCCUAAUAUUACACUGAUUUAGGCAUAUGCAUAAAUCCUUCAAGGCUCAGGCCCCAAACUGCUAUGUGUUAUUGUGCUGUACCAGUUUGCCCAAAAGUGAUUUUAUUUCAGUGAGGCAAGAAGUGAUUAUUAUAUGUAGUUUGUGUUCUUGAUAUUCAAAACAUGAAAAGCCAAUAAUGUGAGCACAGUUGUGAAUGUAAUUUGUACACAAUUAUUGCAGUUGCACAUGCAGAUCAAUUAUUCAUAUGUGGAAAUGUCAGGUAAGGUAUCUAACAACGAAAAGGAAAACUGGUUAUCUAUCUCCAGCUCAUCUGAAUACCGGGUUAAUGAAGCUAGGCCAACUACUCAAAUACCUUUAGAUAAGAGCUAAUUUUCAUUAUUUCUGUCCACUCUGUUCUCUUCCCUUUUAUACCAUUAUCUAUUUAUUGUAACUGAACCAAUUUUCAGACCACUUCAUUAAAUUCCCUGUACAAUUAUAAAAUAAAAUAAAUAUCUUUCAUUUCCUCACAAAAACAGGGAAGUAUAUAUUAAAUAGUAUGUACCUAUACUAUAGUAUUUAAAGAAAUAGCUCAUAAUCAUUACAAGCUUUCUUCUUUUAAUGCAUGAAUGUCCUGAUUAUAAAAUGGUACCAAUAAUUCAUGCUUCUAAGUUAUAACUCAAUACCUAUAUUUUAUUAUCACUAAUCACAGUGAUACAAAUAUUAUUUGGCUUGAAAAGGCAAAGGAAUAGCUUCUUACUAGUUAUCUCCAAUCUCAGGGAUUAUCUGAGGAAAUGAUUAGACAUAGGGAAACUACAAGGUUCUCCCGUCACAGUGUCAUUUAAUUCAAACAUCAUCAUUAGCAUCCA